CGUGAGCAACCUGUCCCAAAGACCGGGAUAAGCGCGGGAAACUGCGUCUAAUACCGGAUGCCCUCUUCGUGUCACAUGGCGUGAUGAGGAAAUGUUUUAUCGCUUUGGGAGGGGCUCGCGGCCUAUCAGCUUGUUGGUGGGGUAAUGGCCUACCAAGGCAUCGACGGGUAGCUGGUCUGAGAGGAUGAUCAGCCACACUGGGACUGAGACACGGCCCAG
rnacentral:rRNA from 1 species